AAUUCGAUUGAGUUUGAUCCUGGCUCAGGACGAACGUUGGCGGCGUGCUUAACACAUGCAAGUCGAACGGUGAACCACCUUCGGGUGGGGAUCAGUGGCGAACGGGUGAGUAACACGUGGGCAACCUGCCCCUGACUUCGGAAUAACUUCGGGAAACCGAAGCUAAUACCGGAUAUGACGUUGAGUGGCAUCACUUAACGUGGAAAGUUUUUCGGUCAGGGAUGGGCCCGCGGCCUAUCAGCUUGUUGGUGGGGUAACGGCCUACCAAGGCGACUACGGGUAGCCGGCCUGGGAGGGCGACCGGCCACACUGGGACUGAGAUACGGCCCAGACUCCUACGGGAGGCAGCAGUGGGGAAUAUUGCACAAUGGGCGAAAGCCUGAUGCAGCGACGCCGCGUGAGGGAUGACGGCCUUCGGGUUGUAAACCUCUUUCGACAGGGAUGAAGCCUUCGGGUGACAGUACCUGUAGAAGAAGCACCGGCUAACUACGUGCCAGCAGCCGCGGUAAUACGUAGGGUGCGAGCGUUGUCCGGAAUUAUUGGGCGUAAAGAGCUCGUAGGUGGUCCGUCACGUCGGGUGUGAAAACCCAGGGCUCAACCCUGGGCGUGCACUCGAUACGGGCGGACUAGAGUUCGGUAGGGGAGACUGG
rnacentral:rRNA from 1 species